rnacentral:rRNA from 1 species
GCUAAGAAUAUUCCGCAAUGGACGAAAGUCUGACGGAGCGACGCCGCGUGGAUGAUGAAGGCCGGAAGGUUGUAAAAUCCUUUUAUGACUGAGGAAUAAGGAAGUUGAGAGAAACGGCUUCUGGUGACUGUAGGUCAUGAAUAAGCAACGGCUAAUUACGUGCCAGCAGCCGCGGUAACACGUAAGUUGCGAGCGUUGUUCGGAAUUAUUGGGCGUAAAGGGCAUGUAGGCGGUUCUGCAAGUCUGGUGUGAAAUACCGGGGCUCAACCCCGGAACUGCGUUGGAAACUGCAGAACUUGAGUCGCUGAGGGGCAGCCAGAAUUCCAGGUGUAGGGGUGAAAUCUGUAGAUAUCUGGAAGAAUACCAAUGGCGAAGGCAGGCUGCCAGCAGAUGACUGACGCUGAGGUGCGAAGGUGCGGGGAGCAAACAGG